GUCCAUAAUCAUACCACCCUGAACAUGCCUGAUCUCAUCUGAUCUUGGAAGCUGAGCAGGGUCAGGUCUGAUUAGUAUUUGGAUGGUAGAAAUGGGAGUGUCUCUU
rnacentral:rRNA from 1 species